rnacentral:rRNA from 1 species
UUGACCUCGGAUCAGGUAGGAGUUACCCGCUGAACUUAAGCAUAUCAAUAAGCGGAGGAAAAGAAACCAACCGGGAUUGCCUCAGUAACGGCGAGUGAAGCGGCAAGAGCUCAAAUUUGAAAUCUGGCCCCUCCGGGGUCCGAGUUGUAAUUUGCAGAGGAUGCUUCGGGAGCGGUCCCCGUCUAAGCGCCCUGGAACGGGCCGUCAUAGAGGGUGAGAAUCCCGUCUGGGAUGGGCGGCCGCGCCCGUGUGAAGCGCCUUCGACGAGUCGAGUUGUUUGGGAAUGCAGCUCUAAGUGGGUGGUAAAUUUCAUCUAAAGCUAAAUACUGGCCGGAGACCGAUAGCGCACAAGUAGAGUGAUCGAAAGAUGAAAAGCACUUUGAAAAGAGAGUUAAACAGCACGUGAAAUUGUUGAAAGGGAAGCGUUGUCCACCAGACUCGCCCGGGGGGGUUCAGCCGGCACUCGUGCCGGUGUACUCUCCCCCGGGCGGGCCAACAUCGGUUUGGGCGGCUGGUGAAAGGCCCCGGGAAUGUAACACCCUCCGGGGUGCCUUAUAGCCCGGGGUGUCAUGCGGCCAGCCUGGACCGAGGCCCGCGCUUCGGCGAAGAUGCUGGCGUAAUGGUGGUCAACGGCC